rnacentral:rRNA from 1 species
GUGAAGCGGCAACAGCUCAAAUUUGAAAUCUGGCCCCCUCCGCGGGGGUCCGAGUUGUAAUUUGCAGAGGAUGCUUCUGGCGCGGCGCCUUCCGAGUUCCCUGGAACGGGACGCCACAGAGGGUGAGAGCCCCGUCCGGUCGGACGCCCAGCCUAUGUGAAGCACCUUCGACGAGUCGGGUAGUUUGGGAAUGCUGCCCUAAAUGGGAGGUAUAUGUCUUCUAAAGCUAAAUACCGGCCAGAGACCGAUAGCGCACAAGUAGAGUGAUCGAAAGAUGAAAAGCACUUUGAAAAGAGGGUUAAACAGUACGUGAAAUUGUUGAAAGGGAAGCGCUCAUGACCAGACUUGGGCCCGGGGGAUCACCCGGCGUUCUUUCGCCGGGGCACUUCGCCGGCUGCCCAGGCCAGCAUCAGUUCGCGGCGGGGGACAAAGGCUUCGGGAACGUGGCUCCCUACGGGGAGUGUUAUAGCCCGCUGCGCAAUGCCCUGCCGCGGACUGAGGUUCGCGCUUCCGCAAGGAUGCUGGCGUAAUGGUCAUCAGCGACCCGUCUUGAAACACGGACCAAGGAGUCGUCUUCGUAUGCGAGUGUUCGGGUGUCAAACCCCUACGCGGAAUGAAAGUGAACGCAGGUGAGAGCUUCGGCGCAUCACCGACCGAUCCUGAUGUUCUCGGAUGGAUUUGAGUAAGAGCAUACGGGGCCGGACCCGAAAGAAGGUGAACUAUGCCUGUAUAGGGUGAAGCCAGAGGAAACUCUGGUGGAGGCUCGCAGCGG